rnacentral:lncRNA from 1 species
UAGAGGGGAAGGAAGUGGAGCAGGGGAGAGGAAGGGAGGGGAGGGGAGGGGAAAGGAGGAAGGGAGGAGGGGACGGGCAUGUCCAUAUAACAACAAGAAGGACUGCUACCAAUAUUUUAUUUCCAGCUUUAAGCCCGCUCCAGAUUCAGGGCUGGAACUCUGCUAACACUGUCUGUCAGUUUCCUGUAAGGUUUCUGUCAAAGGGAGCACAAGAGAGCUGGGGAGGAGCCAGGACCUGUUCUUCCUGUAGGCUACCUCCCUGUGGGCUUCCUGUCUGUUGUUGGUUCCUAAGACAGGCAGUCACCUUGGCAGCAUCUCUCCACCUCACUCUCUCCCCCACAGCCACUGACAGCUCCUUCCAGGAGGCCUCCUGAACUCCAUUUUCUGUUGUUCUACUCUGUACACCCACUGCACCAGUCUUCAGGAUCUGCGUCUCACCUUUCCUAACUCAGAGAUCCCGGGGCCAGCCAGCCUUCACUGAGACUGUCACCUCCGUGGGACUCUACAUCUUCAUUUUGAAUUUUACUCAUUAUCAUCUCCUCACGUUGUUCCCAAAGCUCUGAAGUCGAUAGCUCCUCCUACUCUCAUCAUACCUCAAAAUCACUUCUGUAUCCUUGCAGGGAAACGAAGUAAAGCAAAGCCGAUUCUUCUGGGACAAGGUAAAGGUUUGACUCUUCUUGUUUACACAAGAAAGCCUCCAAGGAAACCGUCCAAACUUCAGCUUCAGCUUGGAAGGGUCCAGAAAUACCGGAAGCAAGAAAGGAAAAGCACAAAGCUUCCCUUCCAAGGUGCUCAUCAGGCGGGAGAAAGGCACACCUGAGACAUGUCACCACUUUCAAAGACCACCAGCACUACCAUUAUCUGAGACCUAAGGUCACAGCCAUGCCCAGGCUUUCUGUACCAAGAGCACAGAUCGAGUGCUACCGUCCAGGCCAACAGUGCCCAUCCACAGGAUGGAGCGUCUGCUUGACAACAAGGAGUAAGAUAAAGCCAUUGAAAUGAGGCCUGUGAUCAGGCACCAGUGAGAAACAUGUCUGCUCAUCUCUGAUCUGCCCUGGACCCUAGACCCUCAACCCUACGCCAAGAGCCUGGCAGGUUCUUCAUCUGUCUCCCUUCUCCCCUUAUUUCUGUGAUAGAUUUUCUUCGUAUAAAGCUAAAGGGGGGAGAAGGAAGUGGAAGAAGAAGGAGGAAGAGGAGAGAAAAAAAGAAGGAGGAGAAAGAGG